CCUACGGGUGGCUGCAGUGAGGAAUAUUGGACAAUGGGCGCAAGCCUGAUCCAGCCAUGCCGCGUGCAGGAUGACGGUCCUAUGGAUUGUAAACUGCUUUUACACAGGAAGAAACAACGCUACGUGUAGCGUCUUGACGGUACUGUGAGAAUAAGGAUCGGCUAACUCCGUGCCAGCAGCCGCGGUAAUACGGAGGAUCCAAGCGUUAUCCGGAAUCAUUGGGUUUAAAGGGUCCGUAGGCGGUUUAGUAAGUCAGUGGUGAAAGCCCAUCGCUC
rnacentral:rRNA from 1 species